AGAGUUUGAUCCUGGCUCAGGACGAACGCUGGCGGCGCGCCUAACACAUGCAAGUCGAACGGAGCUGUUUUCUCUGAAGUUUUCGGAUGGAAGAGAGUUCAGCUUAGUGGCGAACGGGUGAGUAACACGUGAGCAACCUACCUUUCAGUGGGGGACAACAUUUGGAAACGAAUGCUAAUACCGCAUAAGACCACAGUGUCGCAUGGCACAGGGGUCAAAGGAUUUAUCCGCUGAAAGAUGGGCUCGCGUCCGAUUAGCUAGAUGGUGAGGUAACGGCCCACCAUGGCGACGAUCGGUAGCCGGACUGAGAGGUUGAACGGCCACAUUGGGACUGAGACACGGCCCAGACUCCUACGGGAGGCAGCAGUGGGGAAUAUUGCACAAUGGGGGAAACCCUGAUGCAGCGACGCCGCGUGGAGGAAGAAGGUCUUCGGAUUGUAAACUCCUGUCCCAGGGGACGAUAAUGACGGUACCCUGGGAGGAAGCACCGGCUAACUACGUGCCAGCAGCCGCGGUAAAACGUAGGGUGCAAGCGUUGUCCGGAAUUACUGGGUGUAAAGGGAGCGCAGGCGGAUUGGCAAGUUGGGAGUGAAAUCUAUGGGCUCAACCCAUAAAUUGCUUUCAAAACUGUCAGUCUUGAGUGGUGUAGAGGUAGGCGGAAUUCCCGGUGUAGCGGUGGAAUGCGUAGAUAUCGGGAGGAACACCAGUGGCGAAGGCGGCCUACUGGGCACUAACUGACGCUGAGGCUCGAAAGCAUGGGUAGCAAACAGGAUUAGAUACCCUGGUAGUCCAUGCCGUAAACGAUGAUUACUAGGUGUGGGAGGAUUGACCCCUUCCGUGCCGCAGUUAACACAAUAAGUAAUCCACCUGGGGAGUACGACCGCAAGGUUGAAACUCAAAGGAAUUGACGGGGGCCCGCAC
rnacentral:rRNA from 1 species